rnacentral:rRNA from 1 species
AGCAGCCGCGGUAAUUCCAGCUCCAAUAGCGUAUAUUAAAGUUGUUGCAGUUAAAAAGCUCGUAGUUGAACCUCGGGGUCUACCCAUUGGUCAGGCUUAAUUGUCUGCACUGGUGAGAUGGAUCUCUACCUUCUGAGGAACUUUCAUGCCAUUUAUUUGGUGUGAUGGGAAAUCAGGACUGUUACUUUGAAAAAAGUUAGAGUGUUUAAAGCAGACUAUCGUCUGAAUACAUUAGCAUGGAAUAAUGAAAUUAGGGACGGACUGAUUCUAUUUCGUUGGUUUCUAGGAUCACCGUAAUGAUUAAUAGGGAUAGUUGGGGGCAUUAGUAUUCAAUUGUCAGAGGUGAAAUUCUUGGAUUUAUUGAAGACUAACUACUGCGAAAGCAUUUGCCAAGGAUGUUUUGC